AGAGUUUGAUCCUGGCUCAGAUUGAACGCUGGCGGUAUGCCUUACACAUGCAAGUCGAACGGCAGCAUAGGAGCUUGCUCCUGAUGGCGAGUGGCGAACGGGUGAGUAAUGUAUCGGAACGUGCCCUAGAGUGGGGGAUAACUAGUCGAAAGACUAGCUAAUACCGCAUACGAUCUACGGAUGAAAGUGGGGGAUCGCAAGACCUCAUGCUCCUGGAGCGGCCGAUAUCUGAUUAGCUAGUUGGUGGGGUAAAAGCCUACCAAGGCAACGAUCAGUAGCUGGUCUGAGAGGACGACCAGCCACACUGGGACUGAGACACGGCCCAGACUCCUACGGGAGGCAGCAGUGGGGAAUUUUGGACAAUGGGGGCAACCCUGAUCCAGCAAUGCCGCGUGAGUGAAGAAGGCCUUCGGGUUGUAAAGCUCUUUUGUCAGGGAAGAAACGGUAGUAGCGAAUAACUACUACUAAUGACGGUACCUGAAGAAUAAGCACCGGCUAACUACGUGCCAGCAGCCGCGGUAAU
rnacentral:rRNA from 1 species